GGUCAAGCUACGAAGGGCGCACGGUGGAUGCCUAGGCGAUCAGAGGCGAAGAAGGACGUGGACAGCUGCGAAAAGCUCCGGGGAACCGCUAACAGGUUGUGAUCCGGAGGUCUCCGAAUGGGGAAACCCGAGCAGGGAUUACCUGCCAGCCCGUGGUGAAUACAUAGCCACGUGGCAGCCAAGCCAGGGAACUGAAACAUCUAAGUACCUGGACGAAAGGAAAGCAAAAGCGACUCCCCCAGUAGUGGCGAGCGAACGGGGAAGAGCCUAAACCCAAGCAGUGCAAGCAUGCUGGCGUUG
rnacentral:rRNA from 1 species